UACGUAGGGGGCUAGCGUUGUCCGGAAUUACUGGGCGUAAAGCGUGCGCAGGCGGUUUGUUAAGUCUGUUGUGAAAUCCCCGAGCUCAACUUGGGAAUUGCAAUGGAUACUGGCAGGCUGGAGUAUGGUAGAGGAAGGUGGAAUUCCCGGUGUAGCAGUGAAAUGCGUAGAGAUCGGGAGGAACACCAGUGGCGAAGGCGGCCUUCUGGACCAAUACUGACGCUCAUGCACGAAAGCGUGGGGAGCAAACAGG
rnacentral:rRNA from 1 species